CAGACGUCCUGCCGCUCCGCUUCCUUCUACGCGGCCCCGCCCAUUCCCUGAUUUCUCGGAUGGAUUGCAACUAAUCAUGAUUCAUUCCCCGAUUCUUCUUUCUCCAUGCCCCUAAUUCCCUCAAGAAAAAGAAAGAACGGAUCCACCAUCGCUUCUCCCUUCCCCUACCUCCGAAUCUGCCCCGAGUUACCCUGCCUCCGGUGGCCGCCCGCGCUCUUGCAAGCCGCCUACGGCCUCCUCUGCAGGACGCCAUGGCCACGGAUUAAAGCUCCGUCGGACUUUCGCUCGCGACUGCCGGCCUUCUUCACGACCAGAUCGACGACGGGGACGACCGGAUCUGCCCCGCCACCUUUCAUUUCUGCCUCGCCUAGCAGCACUGCGCAUCUGCCCCACCUCCCCAGCCAGCGCAGCCGCCCCUCCGUGUCUGAGUCCCUGUGCUGGCCACGCCCACCGCCUGCCCAGCACCGCUCUCCCGUUGCCUUAAACAAUCCAGCUCCACCACUAAUCCAUGCCCCUGCCCCGCGACUGAAGAGGAUCAGGUGACAAAUGUAACAAUUUAUUUGAAUCAAAUGUGAUUUUUCAAUUGUAAAUGUACGAUAGUGCCAAUGUUUAUUCUAUCUGUGUAUCAUCUUCUGUUUACUUCACACGUCUAUUGCACAAUAUCCCAUUUCUGAAUGUUAUGUCUCAAUUUCACAUGCAGUUCAUAUAUUGCAUUGUAAUAACACUUUAUUUCUAACUUAUAAAUCGGAAUGUAACAGGUUCAUUGUAAAUCUGUGACAUUCAUUCUAUAUGAAAUAUGAUAUAUCAGCUUCAGACAAAGAAGUUCAACCUACCACCUUAUUUUCUUGUUAAUGUAUUUUAGUCAAGCUAUCUUAAGUGACUUGUUCCGGCGACGGCGACGGUCAAGAACUAUCCUGGACAAUGUUAAGCAUAGAUAGCAAUGCAUAUUUGCCCUGUUCCACAUGCAUUACAGUUAUGUUGGAUCCUUCUGAAUUUCAUAGAAGCACAAGCUGCUAGCAUAGCGGUGUGCAGGGGGGAGGCCUUGAGCAGACAGGUGACUGCGUCGCUGGGGCAGCGGAUAUGAGGCAUAUCUGCAGGCAGCAGAUGGUAGGCAAGAGGCACAUGGCAGUGUGGCGAGAUGGCCAGUGGCUUGCUGCUGUUGCGAGAGGGCUACCUAGAAGAUGGACAUGAAGAAUAUGGUGCCAGCAAUGGCAAAGGGGAAGGCAGGGAGUGGUAAAGUGAAAGGUUUGACAAGAUACUUUGGCUUAGUAUACGAGAUAUAGAUACUCCACAACAUGUGUAUGGUCGCGUAACUCUUGGUUCUCCUAAAUCAGCCUUCGAUCACAUGAAGGUAUACCCUGGUGCAGGUUUGUGAUAAGAUCGGAUUUGAGGUGUAUUUAUAACGAUCACAUAAAUGAAAGGCUGCAGGAAGAUUUUGGAAAUGGCAAUGGUGUCAACAAAGACAUGAGACAAGAGCUUGGACUGACGGCAUCGACUGAAAAAUCGUCCCAACCAUCUUGGAGACAGCCAGGCAGGUGUUGCGAGCUGUGAUGCCUGAGGCACCUGCCGAGAAAAUGGUGUUCGACAUGAUGAUCAAGGAAGCGCAGGGUAUGCUCUUCUAAUUAGUGAAACAUCUGAAAAGGUGUCUGAAGAAAGGCUUAUCUCACUUCUGAAGCAAAUCAACACCCACACAAGCAAACAAACCAAAGUGGCGGUAGAGUCACUGCACAUAAGGAAAUUUACUUAGCUUCCAGUAGUGGGUUUAGGCUACCUUCAUUAAAACCCGAUAUGAUCUGAGGUGCAAAUUUUCAGAGUAACAUGCUCAUGUGUAACACCAAACUGUUGCUGACAUGCUAAGUUCAUGAUGGAGGACUGGACAAGACUAUGUCGAUUGAAGAAAACUAGGAUCUGCAACUUAUUUCAAAACAGAA